AUAUGCCUUUUGGUGGGGGACAACAGUUGGAAACGACUGCUAAUACCGCAUGAUGUCUACGGACCAAAGUGGGGGACCUUCGGGCCUCACGCCGAAAGAUUAGCCCAAGUGGGAUUAGCUAGUUGGUGAGGUAAUGGCUCACCAAGGCGACGAUCCCUAGCUGGUUUGAGAGGAUGAUCAGCCACACUGGGACUGAGACACGGCCCAGACUCCUACGGGAGGCAGCAGUGGGGAAUAUUGCACAAUGGGCGCAAGCCUGAUGCAGCCAUGCCGCGUGUGUGAAGAAGGCCUUCGGGUUGUAAAGCACUUUCAGUAAGGAGGAAAGGUUAAGUUUUAAUAGAGCUUAGCUGUGACGUUACUUACAGAAGAAGCACCGGCUAACUCCGUGCCAGCAGCCGCGGUAAUACGGAGGGUGCGAGCGUUAAUCGGAAUUACUGGGCGUAAAGCGUACGCAGGCGGUUUGUUAAGCGAGAUGUGAAAGCCCCGGGCUCAACCUGGGAACUGCAUUUCGAACUGGCAAACUAGAGUGUGAUAGAGGGUGGUAGAAUUUCAGGUGUAGCGGUGAAAUGCGUAGAGAUCUGAAGGAAUACCGAUGGCGAAGGCAGCCACCUGGGUCAACACUGACGCUCAUGUACGAAAGCGUGGGGAGCAAACAG
rnacentral:rRNA from 1 species